GACGAACGCUGGCGGCGUGCUUAACACAUGCAAGUCGAACGGAAAGGCCCUGCUUUUGUGGGGUGCUCGAGUGGCGAACGGGUGAGUAACACGUGAGUAACCUGCCCUUGACUUUGGGAUAACUUCAGGAAACUGGGGCUAAUACCGGAUAGGAUCUCCUGCUGCAUGGUGGGGGUUGGAAAGUUUCGGCGGUUGGGGAUGGACUCGCGGCUUAUCAGCUUGUUGGUGGGGUAGUGGCUUACCAAGGCUUUGACGGGUAGCCGGCCUGAGAGGGUGACCGGCCACAUUGGGACUGAGAUACGGCCCAGACUCCUACGGGAGGCAGCAGUGGGGAAUAUUGCACAAUGGGCGGAAGCCUGAUGCAGCAACGCCGCGUGCGGGAUGACAGCCUUCGGGUUGUAAACCGCUUUCGCCUGUGACGAAGCGUGAGUGACGGUAAUGGGUAAAGAAGCACCGGCUAACUACGUG
rnacentral:rRNA from 1 species